GACGAACGCUGGCGGCGUGCUUAACACAUGCAAGUCGAACGAAAAGGCCCUGCUUUUGUUGGGUUCUCGAUUGGCGAACGCGUGAGUAACACGUGAGUAUCCUGCCCUUGACUUUGGGAUAACUUCUGGAAACUGGGGCUCAUACCGCGUAUGAUCUCCUGCUGCAUGUUGGUGGUUGGAGAGUGUCGGCGGUUGUGGAUGUACUCGCGGCUUAUCAGCUUGUUUGUGGGGUUGUGGCUUACCAAGGCUUUGAAGGGUAGCCCGACUGAGAGGGUGACCGGCGACACAGGGACUGAGAGACGGCCCAGACUCCUAAGGGAGGCAGCAGUGGGGAAGAUUGCACAAUGGGCGGAAGCCUGAUGCAGCAACGCCGCGUGCGGGAUGACGGCCUUCGGGGUGUAAACCGAUUUCGCCUGUGACGAAGCGUGAAUGACGGUAAUGGGUAAAGAAGCACCGGCUAACUACGUG
rnacentral:rRNA from 1 species